UUGGUCGUCCAGUGGAAGAGCGAGUCUCCGAGAAGAACGCAGCCCGUAGCCCUUGUGCCAGCCUUCAUCUUCCCUUGCAGCGGUGACCUCACUCUCCGGAGACCACGUUGCGCUUACGUAAAGAGCAGCGUAGGCAUUCAACCGAGGGAACGGAAGGUCUUAGACACAGCCUCUCAUCCUGUCAUACCUGACGCUGUAACCCCGGAACCUUAAGGUUGCAACUGAUGGAAAGCAACUUCAACUCAGCUCCUUUUGAAACCAGAAACCUGUUCCCUCAGUCCAGACAGGAUCUGAGUCUGGGCCAGCAGGAAUCUUUUACUAGCUGCUGCCUUCGUGCUUUCAAGCCCUGCAGAAGGCGUAUGUGUCUGCGCAUCACGUGAGGCUUGGAAUGAUGGUCUGAUGUUUAAGAAGCUGAGCUACG